AUUGAACGCUGGCGGCAGGCCUAACACAUGCAAGUCGAACGAGUGGCGGACGGGUGAGUACUGUCUGGGAAUCUGCCUGAUGGAGGGGGAUAACUACUGGUAACGGUAGCUAAUACCGCCUACCAUCCGAUGUGCCCAGAUGGGAUUGGCUGGUUGGUGGGGUAAUGGCCUACCAAGGUGACGAUCCCUAGCUGGUCUGAGAGGAUGACCCGCCACACAGGGAAUGGGAAAUGGUCCAGACUCAUACGGGGGGUAGCAGUGGGGAAAAGUGUGCAAGGGGGGUAAGCCUGAUGCAGCCAUGGCGGGUGUAGUGAGAAGGCCAUCGGGGUGGAAAAUACCUUUAGCGGGGAGGACUUAAAAGCAGAAGAAGCACAAGCGAACGCAGUGACAGCAGGCGUGGUAAUAA
rnacentral:rRNA from 1 species